rnacentral:rRNA from 1 species
UACGUAGGGGGCGAGCGUUGUCCGGAGUUACUGGGCGUAAAGCGCACGCAGGCGGUCUGCUAAGUUUGGAGUGACAGUUGGUGGCUUAACUGCCAAAGUGCUUCGAAAACUGACAGACUUAAGGGCUUCAGAGGGACACGGAAUUCCGGGUGGAGUGGUGAAAUGCGUAGAGAUCCGGAGGAACACCAAAGGCGAAGGCAGUGUCCUGGGGAGUACCUGACGCUCAGGUGCGAAAGCCAGGGGAGCGAACGGG